rnacentral:ncRNA from 2 species
UUCUUAUCCAGAGUGGUGGAGGGACUGGCCCUGUGAAGCCCGGCAACCUCUUUUUUUAAAGAAGGUGCCAAUUCCAGCAGAACAUGAUGUUCUGAAAGAUAAGAA